UUGUUCUUCCUAUGGUGUUGCAAACCCCUUCAGCUCCUUCAGCCUUUUCUCUAGCUCCUCCAUUGGGGUUCCCUUGUUCAGUCCAAUGGUUAGCUGCAAGCAUCUGGCAGAGGCCAGUAGCAGCACUGAGGUGUACUGUUUGCCUCCAACCAGAAACAAAGAGGAAUGUAAACCUGAGAUGCUAUCCUAAUUAGGGCAGUUACUAUUCAGCACCUCUCCCUUGUAGUUCUAUGUAGCUCCUGGCAGAAUAAACUAGAAAUAUUUCUAACUUAGACCCAAGACUCCCAUCAAUUAUGACCAAGCAAUAUUUUUUCCUGAUUUUAUAUCAUGAGGUACAAAUGCAGUGAAAUGGGGAGAGAUAAACUAUAGGAAAAAAAUUAAAGUCAUUUCCUGAGGUUUACAUCAACAGUGUAGAGAAUAACGGUAGAGCCAUAGUGUGGAUGAAAGCCAAGUAGUGUUCCUCGGAAUAACGAGGACGCUCUUUAAAGGAAGAGAGGAAACUGCAGAUUAUUUAGUGGGAGUAGACUCAGCUGAAGAGAUCAGAGAAAUGGAAGGUGGAGCAGCAGGAAGGCUGUAGGGAGGGAGGAGUGACACAGUCUAGGAGCACCCUGAGGGAGAAUGGAAGAGAGGCAGCCCUUGGCAACGGGUUUCUGACACUCAUUAGCAAAACAGACUUAGUGAACAAACAAACAAGCAAAUCCACAAGUAAACCACAAGUCUGAAACAAGGUUCCUAAAAAAGCCAAAGUGGCUAUAAAGAUGGUCAGGUAAGCCGUCAGUCACAUGCACAGUGCACCGCCAGUAGCAACAGUGUAUCCAGGAAGUGGUAAAACACCUUCAUUGUUGUGAGGGGAACUGUGGGAACUGGAAACUGGUGCAAGGUGAAACUCAAACAAACCCUCAUUAAAGAAACUGAAGAAGGAUGGUCUUUGAUAAGAAAAAUUACUCAAGAAGCAAGAUUUGGAAUUGAAGUGUUCAUGAACAGACAAAAUCAAUAUUGUAAAUUUAAAGUGUUAUUUGUAUAAAGCAAUCAUAAUGAAGUAUUUAAAGAAAUUGUAGAAAUUGUAAACACAUUUAACACUGAAUAAAUAUUGUUAUGCAACAUUAAUGCGGAAUUUUAAGAUAACGAUGUAACUGGGAAAAUCUGCUUUGGGAGAUAGGAGGGUGGUGAGGAUUCAGGAGCCAAGCCAAGGUAAGGUUUGAAUGUGAUUGUUUCACAUGAAUUACUUUCAGGGCUACCUUCUCAAAGAAUACUCAGGUGGUGAAACAUCCCAGCGACACAAUACAAAUAAAGGGGGACAUUAGAGGGCCACUGAAAGGUGGAGUAAUACUGACUGCACACCUCACAGCUACGAGGCUCUGGGCCUUGC
rnacentral:lncRNA from 1 species